GCAGUGGGGGUGGCGAGUUGUGCGCCUGCCGCUCCGCUCUGAUCCGUGCCGUCCUGCGGCCGCGGGGCUGCCCUGCGAUCUGCUGGAGCGGGGGGGAGAGCUGUGUGGCGGCGGGGCCCUGCUGGGCCUCCCGUGUGGGCCGCAGUGUCUGCGGGAUAACGGCCCGCGUAAAUCUUGUUCUCUGUGUGUGGGGUUAUUGCGAAAUAAUUGCCAGCCGGGGGUAAGAUCUGGUUGUCUUCAGAUCUGCCUUCAAUUCAGCUCAGUUCUUCGGGAGUCCGUGAAGCUGCUCCAUGUUGGAUCUGUAGGAUAAGAAGCCAAAUGACAAGCCAGGCCCAAGAAGAACGUUGCUUAAGGCUGACAAGCAAUUGCCAAAGCCAGCCUCUGGGAGCUCUCCAAGAAAGGAUCAAAACUUUACUGUGAGAUUGCAUCUACUGCUGCCAGAAUCUGCAGGAAGUUCAAGAAACAUCUUUUAUGCUAGCUCAUUGUAGCAGAAGUGCAAGUCACAGCCUGAAACAGUGAUUGAGUACCUGUGGGAGAAGCAGGGCCAAUCCAGGUGAGCUCAGGUGCAUUCAGUGCCUCUGAGUGACCAGAAGGAUUGAAGCCAGGAUCCAGCCCUUCCCAGAGCUCAUUUAAGGGUUGGCAGUGGAGACAAGGGUGUAUCACUGGAGAUCUCUGCAUACCUGAAGCCUUCUGCAGUUCUGAAGAGCUACCCAUGCAAGAACAAAGAGUUGCAGCUCCUAAGAAAACUGUUUCAUAGCCCUACACAGAGGAACAAAGAAAUACAUACAAAGAAAGCUGUGCCGUACGCCACUCCAGCAGGCCUGGCUGAGGUGUGCUGAAUCCCAGCAGGCUGAGAAGCGCUUGUGGAGCCCCCAGCAGACAGCAGCACUGGGGCCCUGAGACCAAAGCAGCCCAUCAAAGAUAGGGAUUUCAUACUGAAAGGAAAGUAAUACAUAUAUCACUUAAGGCAUCUAGCUUAAAAUAUUUAAAAGGAGGACAGAACUAUGGAAAGAGGAGUUCUUUUAGAAGAUUGCCUGUGGACUGUAUUUUAAUGUUCUGAAGCUGCUCCCUGCAGCUAUUUUAUACAAUACCCAGUUUUCUCGAGUUUCAGAAGUACUAAUGAUUCAAUGGAUGCAGAAUCACAGAAAGCUCCUGAACUCAGCUUAUGCUUCCCUCUACUGCCUUGAAGUCCUAUUUCCAGCCAGUGUUUUAGAACUAGACAGCUUUGCAAGAGGGUAAAAAUCCCUUAGCAAUAUUAACUGUUAACUUCUUUGAAAGGAGUUCAUUUUAAGCCAGAGAAAUUGGCUGUGUGUGAUAGAAAUAUUGUUUUUUUCUAAGAACUGCUAGAUUAUUAACCUAAAAUCUUGCUUUAAUGCGACGAUCAUAGUAAUGAAAUGCAGUACCUCCUUUGGUGUUUAGUAUCAGUUUUUUUUCUCUAUUCUCCAAUAUUUCUAUAGAUAUUUCAUGUGGGUUUUGAUGUUUAAAACAGCACUCAUUUGAAAUGUCAUGAACACACAACAGAAAUUUGGUAUGUAGCAAGCCCCACUCCCCAGUUUAAUAGGGGGAUAAUGCUUUUUUAAUCCUUUUCAAACACAUGGCCAACAGUUUUUUCUAUAAUAUCAAAAUAUGAUAUAAAAAUACCAUUUCAUGCAAAUUUCAACUACCUGUGGCUUCAGGAAUAGAUGCUACAUACUCUCUAGCUGUGGAAAUCAUUGUGGUAAAAAGAUGACUUGUUUUUAAGACCGGAAUGUAUAAAUAUGUAAUAUAUAACUGCCAGGAUUUCCACUAUGAGACUGAAACUAAGAAAAUUGUAGAUGUUGCAAAAAUAUAACUGAAAUCAAGAAAAGAAUUCUGCACCUUCAAAGUCUCAUUUGAAUACUUUUUUUUUUUCUACAAGGUUCUCAUGAGUGAAUUAGAAACCACUGAAAUGCUUCUGAAGCAAAGCCACGAUCUGUUGAAAUUUCACCAUAAUCAGAAUGUUCAGCUUCUUUGCCCAAGGUUUUGAUGGGAAGUCAUGAAACAACUGAAGUAUUUUAAAAGCAAAACAGUCUGAGGUAUCUGAGUUUCACCAAGAGGAGAACUCUCUUUUCUGACCAACUUUAAGUGGAAAAAUGCUUUUUAUUCCUCCGUUCCUCUGUUUUAAUGUGAGUCAUGGUUUUGCUGACCUUGGUAUUUCACUAGCUCUUACCUGUCCUCUUUGUCUGGAUGCCUGCUCCAGGAGUCUCUCAGCCACUCUCAGAGCCCUUCCCUCUGGUCUUCCUUUUUUCCCUUUCUUCUAUUGAGUAAAUCUUUUUCACUGAUCUGAUGUCCACUGUUUUAUUGCACAGUUGUUACUGUUACAUUAUUACUGAUAGAUCUUGCCUCCAUCACAAUAAUUGCCUUGUCUCUCUUUACCUUCCUAUGGCAUUCCUGAAAGCAGUAGCUAGACGAGAGCAGCAGAGCUGUCAGAUGCAGUUUGCUGAUAGGCAACACCAUAAAUAAGUGCUUUAAAAUUUUAUCAGCGCCAGCCUUAUGCCUUAACACUUUAGUGCAAUUCUCUCUCACACUCAAUUUUUUUUAAUGACUAUUAUUUCUAAUGGCUAAUGUAGGUUUAUGUAAGUUCAGUCUUAAGUUCCUGAAGAUCUAUUUGUAUGCCUUAUGUGCUGGUGAUUAAGAUUCUUCCCUGUGGUAUGUAGUAGCUGGGAGGAACAGCUUAACGCUGUGUUGUAUUUAUUUUUAUUUUAUUUUUUUAGAGGAGAUUUAUCCUAAUGCUUUGUUCUCCCUGGUACUCCUGCUGUUGCCACUUCUACUGCCUGAGGAGAUAUUUCUGUCUCAAAUCCCCCCACUUCCAAAGUCAAUGUACAGACCAUGAAUACAGUCCAAAGGUCACGCUUUGGAGAAAACAAGAAAGAGUGGAGAGUAAAGGAAAAGUUGUUUUUAAAAGGUGGUGACUUGAUGAAAUUUUCUGAGUUUUUACACACAGGAGCUCUUGUUGGAGAUUAACAUGGCCUCCUUGGUCUUACAACUCUGGCUCUGCAAAAGCCAAGAGAAAAACAAGAUAAAACAAGGUGACACUGACAGAUGAUAGAUUUUCUUUUUAUAUAAAUGUUGGCAGUGCUACAACAGCAGUUCACUUGAUCUUACUAAUUUUUGUAAGUUAGUAUGAGUUCCAAAAGCAUUUUGUUAAGGUAGUUCUUAAUUUUCCAUUUCUUUCAUCAUACUUUAAACAGUUUUUAAAGUUACAUAGAAUCUGCUCCUGAAAUUUAGAGUUAUUAGAAUGUGAUCAAAUUUUCCACUCUUAAAUAUUGAUUUGACCCUUUGUUUCUUCUGGCAAACGUGAACCAAAUGUCACUAGACCUACUUUGCUUAAUUACAGUGGGUAUCUGGUUGGGCUCUUUUGCAUGAAUUAAAUAUUUGGACAAGUGAGCACAAGACUGUAUUCUCUCAUAGCCUAGGGGAAUGCUGUGGUUUGGCUGGAGGAGCCUCCCAAUCCUCAGGUGACUUUCCUCAUGCUUCCACAUACACACUCUUCCUACAUAAGGUUUAAUUAUUCCAUACCAUUUGGGGCAGUUUUACCACAGAGAGAUGAAGCAAACCCGGACCACAAAACCUAGUAACUGAGCGCUUAAGAAUUCUCACUUGAAGUGAGAGAUGUGUGCUUAAAUUGCUUUACACAAAAGGAAGAAUUCUUCAGUGAGUGCUAUGGUAACAAUGUUGUCUGGAAAAAUGGGAAUGGAGAAGACAACUACGCUUUGUAGGAACUUGUUUGUUUCUUUAAGUUCCCAAAUCCUCCCCAGAAUCGAAAGCUAAGGCUUUCAAUUUUCAAUAGACUAUUCCAAUAGAAAAUAUAUAAAACGCCUUCAGAAGAAGGCUGACAAAGCUGUCAGUGUGGAGUGUUAUGACAUCCUCUGUUCUUCCAUAAUUACAGUCUUCAAUCCACUGACCAUUUCAUCUUUAUUUAAACAUGUCCCCUUCUUUGUAUCUUAAAAAAAAUAAUAAUAACAAUGGUAAAUUUAUAUAGCUUGAAUUAAGAAGUGUCAGGACUGAUUAGUGACUAUCUGGACUAAAUAUGCAAAUUGCAAAGUUUUCUUCAUGGUUUUAUAUAAGAAGAUGUUUUAAAAACUUUAUCAGUGUCAAUGUGUCAGCCUGCAUUUCUCUGUGAAAUCUUGAAACUGCUCUUUCAUCUAUGUUGUAAACACAUCAACAAGUAUGUAGAAUGUCUUGACUUUGAAAUGCUGUCACCUACUUUCUGUAUCGUUGUCAGUAGUCAGCUUGUUAUAAAAGUGUUUCAUUUCUAGCUCUGUUUCUUUUGGUAGUGUGUCGGCAUACUGCAUUUUUCAACAGUGUUCUUUGCUGCCUCUUCCAUUCUUAUCAAUAAAUGCAGUUUGACAGAAGUUCUCCUCCUCUGCAACAUGUUGCUAUCUCUGACUCUCCACUGUCACCAAAGCUGUUGUGUUACUUUGAGGCUAAGCUGAGUGCAUGUAAACCAUCUUCAACAUUUUGUGCCAAAGUACAGAGGGAAUUUGAACUCAAAGGUUUCUGUGAUGGUGAGAAAUCCCUAAGCUUCAGUCACUGCCUUUACUUUUCAGUUGGAACUUUCCCAGAACAUGUUCAGUUUGAUGCAGUACCUGUUUCUGACGUCCUGCAAUAUGGAGUCUGCACUUUGCUUGGAAUAAACACAUCUGGUGAUGGACAGUUUCUUAAAUGUGAGUGUAUUCAGGCUUUUAAUUCUGCUGCUUCUCAUACAACCUUAUUUUUUUUCAGAAGAUAAUGUGUCAAAACAGGUGAAAUUGCCUCAAGUGCCAUAGCUUAAAGCUGAAUUACCUGAACUGCAUAUGAAUGUAAGACACUAUUUUCAAAUUUUGAACUACACUUAUUUCAAGAAGAUUUUCUAACCAAAUAUACAUCACUGAGAUACACAUUUGGUUAAACUGGGAAAAAUAUCCUGUUCAAAUGAUUUCAAGACUCGUGCAAUAGAUAUGUAGAAGAAAGUCAGUGAGACCAAUAGCUAUGAUAUAAUAGAUGCUUUAAUAUUAGAUACUUACACCAUUCUUGUGUGCACUAGAAUGUCAGCCUCUUGUUGCAUUUACAGCAGUAUGGCUUCCUUGCACCUUUCAAAGGCCCACGUCGUGACAGUUCAUGCAUGAACUCUUUCUCACUCUAUCAGUAUAGAUUACAUUCUUGAUAACUAACAUAUCAUAAAGAACUAUCUUCUAGUUACAGUUUGUUUCAAAAUCAGGCUGACAUGGAACAGAGAUCAAACAAAAUCUGUAUACACGGACCUAGUUUGAAAAAGCUAAGGAUCUGUAGUGCGUUCUGAUGACAUACUCUGCAGAAACUUAAUUGGCACAUUGUUGCUGUCUAACUUAAAAUGCACUGCACAGCUACAGCACAGAAGAUUAUUAGAAAUAACUGAGUAAGCAGACUGUCACCUCAGGAAAGAUGGUAAGAACUAUCAGAAUUAUCUUGAAUACACAUGUGUCUUUGACCUGACUACGUCAAGCUGUUAAUCAUACAGGCUGAAUGCAUUUCACCUUACACACGCAUCACGUUGAUUCUUUAAACACAGUCUGUGUGUUUCAGGAACUUAAUCAAAUUGAGCUUAGUAAGGGAAUGGGAUCAAGGAAGGAAGGGAGAGAGUAGAAACAGCUUCUCUAGAAAUCUUUGUAUUUGUGUUUAUUUUCAGAAGGCAAUGGAGUGUGGAUGAAUAUCUUGAAGAGGAUCUUCUGAAUCAUUCUUCCCAAUGGAAUACCAUAGUCUCCAGUGCAAAACAAGAAAUGCUGACAGGAUUUUGUGACAGUGAACAAACCAUCAGAGAAUUCAGCAUCCAGAUGUUACAUGGAUCAAUAUAUCAUUGAUCCACAACAAUUUAGAACAAAAAGCUAAUAAAUUGAGGAUGUUUUAUAAUUUUUGCUUCUAUUAAGCUCUGACUACAACAAAUUUUUGUAGUCU